rnacentral:lncRNA from 1 species
GAAAGAUAUAUUAUAUUGGUAAAAGGGACAAACAUGAUACACAAGUGUACUUUAGUGAUAUCUAAUAAUUGUUCGAAUUAUAAUGAGGAACUUUUUUGGAACGGAAAAAUUGUUAAAAAUUAUUUAAUUUAUGUAAACAUUGCAUAAGGUUUUUCCCUAUAAAAAGUGAUCAAACAAUUUUACAUUUUUUAUAUGUAAAUUUGAAAAAAUGGUUGAAAUUCUCAACUUUGUUUAUUUUCUUAUCCUUUUUAUUUCUCUAUUUCUUGAUGUAGUCAAAGGUCAUGAUCAAAGGGAGUGUUAUACUAACUAUGAUUGUUGUGUAAAAUAUUCUUGUCCUUAUAAACAUAUGGUGAAGUGCGUUGGUGGUUAUUGUUUGGGCUUUCGCAAUGACUAUGGUAAAAAAAAUCUCUAUUAGAAUAUCCUCACAACGAGAAUGAGAAGUGGUAUCAAGGUGUUUGAUUACGAGUGUAAAAUGGAUAAUCAUUUUCUCAUCUAUAUUAUAUUUUUCUUGAAUUUUUUUUGUAUUAUUGUUUAUGUUUAAAUUGGAUUCUAGGAUCUGAUAUUGGAACACCAAAGUCUAGUUUUAUACUCUAGUGUUGACUUGUUUUAUUAUGUAUUUAAUUAUAUAUAAGAAUAAUUGUAAUAUUCUCCUAAGAAAAAUAUUUUAUGUUGAAUUAUGACGUUUAGUUUUUAUUAUAGUGAUGAUAUGAUAUAUACUUUUAUUAU